rnacentral:sRNA from 1 species
GGAGACGCUGUAGUCCGGGGUAAGCAGCGGCUCCGCGUCCGCUCUCGCCCGCUCGCCGGCCGGCUCUCCUCCCGCUGCAGGACCCGCGCGCGACGCUCCGGGGGCCAGGCAGUGCCUGGCCAUGGAUCUGCGGAUGUUGUCCCGGGAGCUCUCCCUCUACCUGGAACACCAAGUCCGGGUGGGGUUCUUCGGCUCGGGGGUGGGCUUAUCCCUGAUCCUGGGCUUCAGUGUCGCUUAUGCCUGCUACUACCUGAGCAGCAUUGCCAAGAAACCCCAGUUAGUGACGGGGGGUGAGAGUUUCAGCCGCUUCCUUCAAGACCACUGUCCGGUGGUUACAGAAACGUACUAUCCGACGGUCUGGUGCUGGGAGGGUCGAGGACAGACCCUGCUUAGACCUUUCAUCACUUCGAAGCCCCCGGUGCAGUACAGGAAUGAACUUAUUAAAACUGCAGAUGGAGGACAGAUUUCACUGGACUGGUUUGAUAAUGAUAACAGUACGUGUUAUAUGGAUGCCAGCACCAGACCUACUAUCUUAUUGUUGCCUGGCCUCACUGGAACAAGCAAGGAGUCAUAUAUCCUUCAUAUGAUCCAUCUUAGUGAAGAAUUAGGAUACAGGUACCAGUAAAAGAUUUCUUUUUUUCCACUUGAUCCAUUCCAAAUGAAGUACAAAUACAUCUACAUGUUUGUUUCAGAAAUACUUAGUACUUCUUGCAUAGAAAAGCAGUCCCUUAAAUUAUUAUUUUUCUCUGCAUUCUUUUUUUCCGGAAGAUGCAUAACUGAAUCAUCUCACAGGAAAUGUCACUUAGCAUAGUAGACACCCUGCAGAUUUAGGCUGAAUUAAUGAAUGAAAUUAGAGUCAUCUGAGCAUUGACUGAGCCCUUCCCCUCAUCCCCACCCCAAUGGAGAGAGUGUUAUGCAGGGAGAACAGCAAUUACAAACCCCUGAGAGGGUACACAGUGGUCGUCAUGGCACAUUCUGGGGCCUGGAUUCACUAAUCUUGUCGCCGUGGCUCAGCUCCCAAGUGCAAAAAAUAUUCAGAAUCGGCUUGUAGGUCGUCCCUGUUUAUCAACGGUGAUCUCUGCCUCUUCUGACCACCUGAGUUUGCAGGUGCACUUGGCUAGUCUCCAGUUGAUGAUGCCACAGCUUUUCUGAGUAACCAUUAUUAAGCUCAGUCACCACUGAGCUUAAUACUCUGGAACUGGAGCUUAAUACUCUGAGCUGGAACACUCUGUGAGUUGUAUUUAAAGUAGAGUUGUAUCUUUUGUUAAACUUGAAACACUUGUGUGAAAAGCUGAUGGUAAGUUUACGUUAAAAAAAUAACUUUAGGCUGGUCACAGUGGCUCAUGCCUGUAAUCCCAGCACUUUGGAAGGUGUAAAGCCAGUGGAUUGCUUGAGCCCAGGAGUUCGAGACCAGCCUGGGCAACAUGGUGAGACCUAGUCUACAAAAAUUAGCCGGGCAUGGUGCGCAUGCACCUAUAGUUCCAGCUACUGACAAGGCUGAGGUAGGACGAUCAAUUGAGCCCAGGGAGUAGAGACUAUAGUGAACCAUGAUCG